GGGAGGCCCUGCAUAGAUAUGGAAAUUGACAUGGCAUGAAUAGGACUAAGGAAAUAUUGCUGAAAUAACUGAAGAUGAGUUCUUUGCAUCUGACUACAAAGUGCUUCUUGAACAGAAUCUCUUCCAAGGAAAUGAAAUAACUUUUCAAGGAAUUCUGCAGUUAACUGAUCAUUUACAAGGAGACAAUGAAGAGGAAGGAUGGGCAGAGAAGAUCUCCCACUUACUACAAACACACAUGGAAGUAUUGUUUAUCAGAAAUUAAGUUUGGUGUCAGCAGUGGAAUUAACAGAACACAGCAUUCCUGUGCACUCUGAAUGACUUUGCUGUGCCCACUGAUGUGAAUUUACUUUGAGUUUACUCUACCUGGCUUUUCAUCUCCCCUACUGCUCAUGAUGUACAA